CAGUAAGAUAGCCUACAUCUGUGCAAACCACAACAAUCAUGUGCGUUUCUUCACUGGCUUCUUCAGUAAUCUUGUACCAAAUGUGACAAAUACGCUGAACGUAACCGUCAUGAAAGGAUCCGUCAACUCAAGUAAAAUCCAGUGUACAUUUACAGCCGUUCUACCAGACACAAAACAGCGGGCAGCAAAUUACGCUAUGGGUAUUUUUACUGGACCUUACAAUUUCAGUUCUGGGGAGCUGGGACUGCCAGAAUCCAAAGCUAAAAUGACUGUUGUAGACCUGUCAAACCCUGAGGCCAAUUUGAGUGACAAAAGCGCUUCCUUUGUUUAUCCGGUCACACACACACAUUCAUUCUUACCAGUUCUGCUGGCCACCAUGUGUUUGCUGGCUUUCACAGCAGAGUGAACCAACUGAUGUCCACCGUGCUUGAAGAAAGCCGCAACGUUCCUAUCGCCUCCUCUGCAGUUUUUCUUAGUUUGGUAGGAUUUACUGUGUACUCAUUCAUUAUUAUUUGAAGAAACAAACAAAAAUAAAAUAAAUCAAGUCUGUUAUAAAUUUAAACCCUUUGUG